rnacentral:rRNA from 1 species
UACGUAGGGGGCAAGCGUUGUCCGGAAUCAUUGGGCGUAAAGAGCGUGUAGGCGGCUCGAUAAGUCCGCUGUGAAAGUCCAAGGGCUCAACCCUGGAAGGCCGGUGGAAACUGUCGGGCUAGAGUCCGGAAGAGGCGAGUGGAAGUUCCCGGUGUGAGCGGUGAAAUGCGCAGAUAUCAGGAGGAACACCAAUGGCGAAGGCAGCUCGCUGGGACGGUACUGACGCUGAGACGCGAAAGCGUGGGGAGCAAACAGG